AACGCACAUUGCGCCCCUUGGUAUUCCGAGGGGCAUGCCUGUUCGAGCGUCAUUACAACCCUCAAGCACUGCUUGGUAUUGGGCUCCGCUGCUUAUACAGCAGGCCUUAAAAUUAGUGGCGGUGUCAUUAGGCCCUGAGCGUAGUAAAUAUCCUCGCUAUAGGGACUUGGUGAUUACUGGCCAGCAACCCCCACUUUCUAAGUUUGACCUCGGAUCAGGUAGGGAUACCCGCUGAACUUAA
rnacentral:misc_RNA from 1 species